GACGUAGGGCGCAAGCGUUGUCCGGAAUUAUUGGGCGUAAAGAGCGUGUAGGCGGCCUAAGUAGGUCUGCUGAUGAAAACUCGAGGCUCAACUUCGAGAUGUCGGCGGAAACCAUUUGGCUAGAGUCCGGAAGAGGGAGAGCGGAACUCCUGGUGUAGCGGUGGAAUGACGCAGAUAUCAGGAAGAACACCGGUGGCGAAGGCGGCUCUCUGGGCCUUACCUGACGCUGGAGGAG
rnacentral:rRNA from 1 species